AUCAGUGAAACAGAAAAGGGAAUGAACACCUGCAAAAACUUUCUCCUAAGAGUACUGUACCUGAACUGCAAUGCUGUUGUCUGCUGCACAUGUGGAGGUAGCGAGGAUACAGGGAAGCAGGAGUUAUUGGAGAGGAGAGGGAAAGUUAAGGAGAGCAGGCUUCACUGUUUGUGGGGCUACCAUUUUUUUUUUUUUUCAUUUGGUAAGUGCUUGUGUUUUAGAGCUAUUUCCCACAGCUCUUUCUCCAAAGGCUUUCCCCAAAGCCUUUCUCCUGCCCAGUGUGGUGGGCCCUGCUCAGGUGUAUGCACCUCCUUGCCCUUUUCAGAGCACCCACCAUGCUUUGUGGGACAGGAGGCCAUUAGUGCAGCUGCAGCCCUGGAGCACCACUAAGCCAGCACAGGUGAGCUGACUCGGAUAUUCCUCUGGAUUCUGGCCAUGUGCUGGGGAGGUGACUGCUUCAGUUUUCUCCCCACCCCAUGCUGAAGAGGAAGAAGUCAGUUCAAGUUCACCAUGAAACCUGGUUUGAGACAUCUGGUUCCCAGACUCUGAAGGGAGAGAUGGAAAUUCAGUGUGCAGACCGGGCUGUGCAGCAGAGCAGUGCUGUACUCACCCAGCAAGGAUUUUUCAUACAUCUGCUGUAGACACCAGCUUGGGUCCCUUAAUCCCUUCAAAGAUCCAGCAUGGCUCCCAGCUGACUUGAACAUUUUCCUUUUAUCUCCUGGCUUUUCAAGAGCCUGUUUGUUUAUCAGCUCACACACUUGAAAGUUUCUGUGUACUUUGCACUGACAAUGGUUGAAAAUUCAUGUAUAAUUUCUCCUUUGAUUGUUCCAAUGAAUCAGAAUCUAUUAUGAUGAUAAUUGUCAUUAUCUUGAGAAAACUUCAGCCAGCUUCUGCAAGACCUGCUUCUAUUUUAUCUCCAGCCUGCUGUCUCUAGCCUGACCUUUUUAUUUGCAGUCAGAACAAUAACCCCUCUGAUAAAGAUCUCUGUGUGUCCAGCAGGACACAUUCAGAAUUACCCAAGUACCAGGACAAAGUAGCCCAGCUCUGUACUCAAAAUAUUCAGACUCUGUCCUGCCAGCCAGGUACCACAAGGAUUGGAUUACGAAGGCAGGCUCUUCGCUUGCUUUCCCUCCUACCCUUGAAAUCCUGCCCUCUUGGCUGCAGUCUGGUAAGAGCAGCCCUUUCACAAGACACAGUUGUACCAACUUUAUUUUUCACACACUGGUCAAGCAAUGUAGUUCCCGGUCCUAGAAUACACUUGAUAUUUCAUAUGUAAGAUUACACACUGUUCCAUUUGAAUCCUUAUUUUUUAGAAACAUUAAUUCCUUGUUUAAUCUGGUGACUCUUACAGUGCUGCCAACAUAGUGAAUCUGUAUUAGUAUUUUUGCCUCUGUUCAUCUUUCUUUUCUCUAUAGCUGGGUCUAUGGGAAUCUGCUUUACUGGAAGGAGACCAGAGGUGGCAUAGCAGUGCUCAGGGUGGGUGUCAGGGAAGAGGAGUCACUUGGUUUCCCAGUGACCACAGUUAGGCCUUCAUGCCUUCAUCUCUCUGGGAUUCCAGAUGGUAUUACUGCCUAAUCUCUAUUUUCCAAACUUUCCAGAAAUGUGUCACCCAAAACUUACGGUCAAAAAAGGCACCUGUGUGUGUGUGUGUUUCAAAGCCAAAAAAAAAAAAAAACAACAAAAAACCCACCCCCAAACUACAACAAAACAAAAGAGCACUUACAGAACAGAAGUUGUAUUUUUAUUACAAGAGAAAAGCAGUUUUGUUUUCCCAGAAUGGACUUGUAGCUUCUUUCUUUCUGUACAAGGUGGUUGCAGGAAGAAGAGGUGGUCUGUGACAUCUUAAAGGGUGGGAACAAAUUCCCACUUGAUGGUAAAUGAAGUGUCAGAUGAACAAAGAUGUACAGAUAAGAGAUGGUAUUCAGAUGAACAGGAGAUCCAGAUGCUGGGUAUUUUUGUGUCUGUAAGUGCUUGGUAUUCCAACUCUAACUGGGGAUUUUUGGGUGCUAUAUAAAUGUGUUGUAGUCAUAAUGCAUACUGUAAUACUGACAUAUACUGUUUAUUGUUAUAUUAUUGACUUAUUGUGGCCUAUUAUUUUCAAAUAAGGGACUAAUGAAAAGGAUGAAAGAGAUCAGAUGUAGUAGUCACAUCUGGAUGGAAAAAGAAACCAAAACUCUUUGAGAAGGAGUCAUUCAGGCUGUGAAGACCAUAGGAUAGAAGGGGCAUGCUGUUCAUAUGAAAAUGCAAUAAUUUUUCUAUCCCCGAUAAGAAGCAUAUGGAUAGAGGUGGUAGAAAAAUAUAAGAAUAUGAUGUAACUCAGCAAAUUAAAUGCAUUGCACCUCCAAAAACAAUUUAGAUUGAUCUAAAUUCUGAAGGAAUUAGAUGCAUGUUCACCUUUGCGUGUUAUUAGUUACUGGCGUUAGUUAAUUUGACCCCAUUGGUAAUUUUGGCAGUCUUUGUCCAUAUGAAUAACUAACUUAAGGUAUUUCCUAGAUCACUUCUGUUUUGGAAAAUAAAAUGUCCUCUGGUAAAACUGCAUAUUGAUAUUAACAAUCAUAAGAAUUAAAGAUCUACCCGCUCUUUAAUUAAUUAAUUAAUUAAUUUUAUAUUUGAUUACAUUGUCAUAGCAUCCCAUAGCAUCCAGGCUCAGUAUUUCCUAUUAAAGUGAACCAUUACAAUGGCAAAAAGUACACUGAAGCUCCUUGUUAAUUGCUUGUAUUUAUCAUCCAGCAUUGUCUAUUGUUCAUCAUACUUUAAUUGUUCAAAGGGAAGCAGCUGCAUUGUGUUUUAUGGUAGCUAAUUUACAGCACUAUUUAUCCAAAGACAAAAAGUCUAUGUAACUUCAUACAGACAAACCAUUGUAGGCAUGUGUAAUGGGUAACUGAAUAGACAGGCAGAUAUUAGAACAUAUGUGUAAGAUCUAGACUUUUUUGUUUUGAAAUGGAAAUUGCAGGCAAAAUGAUUGUGCUCAUUGAAUCAAGCUCAAAAUAAGACCUUUGAUAUUUUUAUUAAUAUAUUUUUUUCAUUUUAUUUGAUUUAAUUCAGAUAAAUACUUUUCAUUUCAUCUACUCAUCUUUUCAUUGUGAUGCCAUAAUUUUAGUUCCAUAUUUUUCCUUUCAGCUGAUUUUUUUUUCCUUUCUGACUGUUUUUCUUCCACUCCAAAACAAAUGUUCUCUUUGGAGUUUUGAUUUUAAACAGCAGAUGAACUUUUUUUUUCCCUCCGUGCUUUAAGAGGAACUUCUGCAUUUUUUUUUAACUUGAAUUUGGGCUUAUAGUAGACGAAUGUCUAGAUAUUGCAUUUAUCUUGUUAAAAUACAGAGAACAUAUCUGACUUUCAUGAAAAAAAAAAAAGCUAAAAAGAACAAUCCCUUAUAGACUCUGACUUUCUGAAUAUCCAAGUGACAAAACACAAUUAUGUUUUGGUACCGACCAGAGAGUCGUAGAACAGAAGCCCAGUAACUUUCCUGUCUCCCCAUUGCAGAACCAGAGAGGCCAGGUACAAACCCUUGCAGGAGGGAAAUCUGUAAUCUUGAUCUGACCCAUGUUUAGUGGUGCCCCAGAGGUAUUUGAGUAUCACAGGUACCAUUCUGAGAUAUGAUUCACAUUUCAUGGUGCAGGGGAAAUGGCUUUGGUUGUUACUUAUGACACUUGUCCCUGAAUAGGUGAGAACAAAUUAGGCAGGUGGCCUAAUUUAUUUUUCUGAGCAGUCUGUUUUUUUGGAAGCUUGACAGUAUUAACUGCAGGAAAAAAAAAAAAAAAAGUGGUAGAGUGGUAGAGUAGCCCAAAUAAGAGGCUUCCCUCUUAUUUAGAGCCACAUCUUCAAGCGCUAUAAGGAAGAACGUGAUGCAAGAUAUUUGGCUCUCUCUGACCAAAACUAAAGAAGAGGAGUGGAACUUUAAUAUGAAAACAACAAAUGCUCUCCCCGAUUCUCAACUCUCAAAGAUAACCAUGUACUUGGGUUUAAAAAUCUCAUUAGUGCUUUUCAUUCCCUUUCCGUUAUUCAGAUCUUGUUCAUUUGUAUUACAAUUGGUUUAAAAAUUCCCCACAAAACCACAAGCUGUUUGAUCACUGAUUGCUCUAGUUAUGAAGAAGUGGUGGUGAGAACAGAACUCUCUAGUAUGGAAAUUUUUCAGGACUGUUGUAGGACUGUGUUUUGUUCACAGAUUGCCUUUUUAUAUAUAUAUUAAAAAAAAAAAAAUAAUAAAAGGGAGAUCGUUGUUUUCUUAUGGUUCAUGUUUUGGCCUGGAUUCUAUAGGGUUUGCUCACGUAGUGUCUGGGGAGUUUGCUCACCAGUGGAAGGGAUUUCUGGGCUGAACAUAAAGGUUGUCAGCUAAAUAUUGUAUCCUUUGUGCCUCAGUGUUACAAACGAUGCAGCUCUAGUGAGAUACUGACUGUGCCAGGAGCAUGUGAAAUCAGCUCUGUGGAGAGCAGUUUAAAAGAUAAUGGUAUCUGGGUUAUAGCAACAGAAAACUGUGCAACCAGAGCAUCAGAUCAGUGUGGAAUUAAUUUCUGUAGCUGAAAAGUAAGGUUUUAUCCUUUGUAUGCACUUUGGAUGGACCAUGCCAGAAAAUCUGCUGCUGUGGGUGAACUGUUUUGCCCUAGAGGUGAGGCUUUCUGCAGAUACAGGUGGCAGAACUAAUUAAGAAUUAACUCUGCCAGACAGUGUCCCAUAUUGCAUUGGGCAACCACCGUGCAGUUAGGUCAGAGUACUUCAGAAGAGAAAAUAAAGGAGCUGUGUAAGCAAAUCGAGUUAUUGCAGAAAAGGUGUAGAGCCUGCACUGUAAAGCUUUGCUUCCUCACUAAGUACUUGACUGCUGCCUUAUUCACAAUAAAUUAAUAUUUCAUAUAUGAAUUCAUUUUAUAUAUUAAUUUAAUAUGAAUAAACCUGCUUCUUAGAAACUGUUACUUGACUUUUCAGUUGCACAUUUGUGGAUCAUCUCUCCAUUGUCACAUUACAGCUUUAUUCUUUGUAACAUCUUCAUCUAAAGACCACUAAAUUCAGAAACCACAAAAUGCCUUCCUCUCUUGACUAAAUAACACCUCUCAUUUGUAUAAUUAAUCUUUCAACAGACUGAUGCAUAUCCGCUACAUCCAGACAUUGUGUCUGUCCUCUCUCUUGCUCACCCCUCUGAAACCGUGUCUAGUUUGAGACCAGUCUGAAAGAGCAUCUGGAGGUAUGUGGUGGAACUGGGCUUUUGCAGAGAAAUGGAGUCCCUGCAGACAUUAAUGUCAGUUCCUGCUGCUCUUUAGCUGCAAACUGCACAUCAGAAUAUUUAUAUGCUGCAGUCAUAUUAGGUGGAUCAGUUUUAAACCUCUGGACUGACAAAUGAUUUUAAAGAAAUAUGUGAUGUCUCUUGAGGCUGCAUUAACAGCAGUCCUGAGAUGUGUCAGAUGGGAUGUUGCAACCUUUACUUGUAUGCUUGGAUAUCCAAAACUUGAAAACAUGGUUUUAAAAAUAGCCACUUCUUUCUAAACUGUGUGGUAUUUGUUCACAAUGCUUCUGCUGAUGAUCAUCUGAUGAUCAUCCUCUUUUUCUAUGGCUGUAGAAAUUCCUCUCUAUUCUGAAGGACAUAAUAUAAUUGACAACAAAUAAAUGGCCAUAAAGCAUCCUUCCAUGGCCCACCUGCUUCCGUUCUCCUAGUACCCAGCACCACUUAAGACCUGUCAAAAAUUUUUCUUCUUGCUGGAAGGGAGGUGGGAAAGCCUGUGCUGGUGUACCCUGAAUCAGAGACGUGUUUGAACCAGGAGCAGGCUCUGCCCCAUGACCCUGAGGUCAGUGUUUGAGGUUCCUGCCCUGCAAUAACCUUCUCAUGUGGAAGUCACUUAAGGUUAAAGCUGCAGAAAUUUUAGGAUGUUUUGUUUGUCUCUCAGCUGUCAGGGCAAUCUUAUGAAAAAGUCACACAUUUCUGGCAGGGAGGAGAGGGAGUGUAAUGUCAGCAAAAAAAUGUUGCUACGUAGCUUGCCUGUCACUAGCAAAAAAAAAAAAAAGGCGCUUUUAUACUCCAUUUAAAGAAGGGUUGGCUGUCAUAGAAAAUGUAUGGAUCUGUAAGUCUGAGUAUGAAAGAGAUGUUUUACACAUCUGUGGAAUGAUAGAUAAGUUGUCAGGCUGCUGGCCUUUUCCCUGAAACACUUAAGAUGCUAGGUAUAAUUUCCUGCUCGCUAACUGUUUAAAAAUUUCAAAACAAAUCUCCUCCAGAAAUAAUAGCCAGCCUCAAAGUUUUCUGGCAUUAUUGCUUUUACCAUUAGAGUUUGGGUGUGUGUUUGUGUUUAUUCUUUCUGCCCGCAGUAACAGGCUGCAGAUUCACCCAUAUUUUUACUUAUUCCCAAGAAUACUUUUUGGUUUAUUUAGAACAAGUCAGGCUUUAAGAUACAGGAAAAAAAAAAUACAGAGAAAUGAUCCUGUCUAAGAACAAAGAGCAAUUGGAUAACCUAGAAGCUGUUUUUCUCUAUUCUAUGAUGCCAUUUCUUUAAGGAGAAAUUUUAAUGACCUUGUUCUUUGUGGAUUCUGCACAAAAAUGGAAAGUUUAGCAAACUGAUGCAUUAUAAGCAAAAUAUAGAAGUCAUCCCUUCUCUUUAUGGAGCAACACUGGUCAAUGUUGAAACCAUACUAAAAAGUCAGGUAGAUGAAUUCAAGCACCAUAAUUUCCUUGUUCCCAUGUUUUUGGUUCUAUCAGCGAUAAAUUUGUUUCUGUUAGAAGCUGCAGAAAUUAAUCUCUAUGAUUAAACUUCACAAAACUUAAAGGUAUCACCCAACUGGAAAGGAACUAAAACCAUGGAACAGUUUUUAAUAUUUACCUUAUGUAGCUUGUCCUGUCAUCACCUAGAAAAGACCAGCAUCCCCCCUGCUCCCACCUGAAGUGUUAAUGAGCAAGAAUCUAAUAGAGACUUGGUGAUCUUGAAGGUCUUUUCUAACCUAGAUGAUUCCAUGAGACUCAUGCUGGGAGUCUCAGACCCACUGGAAAAGCAGAAUUAUCAAGAGAGAUGUCUGACAAGCAUGCAAACAGAGCUUCUCUCUCAUAGCCCAAGUAGUUGUCACCAAAAAAAAGGUGUCACCAAAAAAGAAGGCAGAAAAAAAAAGGAGUCCCAGCAAGUCACCUUUACCAGUAAGAAGAAGAGAUUGACAUGAAGAAAUUCUAUCGGAAUCUUGCUACUGAAAGAGAACAUAAGGGAAAGAGAGGUGAUGAAUAUGUCUUCAGUGGGAGCACAAAUUACUGCCACCAGCAGCCUUUCAAGGCUGUUAGUUACAAAGCUGCACUCCCCUUCCACGGGAGUUUUUGUCUGCUCGUUCCAACCUGUAGCUCCUCAGGGCUAGAUCAUUUUUGUUUAAUGUUGGCUAAUGGCAGCACCUGAGAGGAAGGCAAUAAAUUCAUUGAUCACCAAGCACAGUUUGGGAUAUAGGAUGAGCUCAGUUUAAAAGGAGAUUCUGCUGCAGAUCACCUUUGUUCAAAUUUCCCAUUACAGAAUGUGAAGAAUUUAAUUUCUUUGUAUUUUAGCAGUGUUUGACAGCUUCAGAUGUUUAGGGAUUUCUUUCUGACCCCGAUGAAGAAACACUCUUUUAGUACUAUGAAACUUGAGAGCACUUUAAGUUAAUUUCAGUUUAAUUAGUCUAAGUGUGGUUUCUGUUCUUUUAUUAAAAUGAUGUUUUGUCAUAAUAGCUAGAUAUUCAUACUGUAUUUAUAAAGAUAUAUUUCAAGAUAUUUCAAGAUAAUUUCAAAAAUGUAUUUCAAGCCUGAAGCUGUAGAGAUAAGUGGACAUACUUAGAGAUUCAAUCCUUGUUCAGAAAGAAUGUUCCCAACUAUUAAUACUGCAUGGAGAGCACCCAGGGCAAGCACAGCGGCCCGUGCAUUACAUGAUGCAAACCGAAGCCGCUAUAAGGCAGGUGUUGAAAUGAAACCAUAAUGAAUGAGUGAAAAUAAAGCAUUAGGACAAUUGCAUGCUUGACAGCUUUCACCAUGCAC